CACCAGCGCCAUGAGUGGCAAUCAUAAUUAUUGGGCCUAAAGCGUCCGUAGCCGGUCUAAAAAAGUCUUUUGUGAAAUCGUUGUGCUCAACAUAACGGCGUGCAAGAGAUACUAUUAGACUUGGAACCGGAGAAGAGUCAGAGGUAUUCUAAGGGGAGCGGUAAAAUGCUAUAAUCCUUGGAGGACCACCUGUGGCGAAAGCGUCUGACUAGAACGGCUUCGACGGUGAGGGACGAAAGCCAGGGGAGCGAACCGGAUUAGAUACCCCCGUA
rnacentral:rRNA from 1 species